rnacentral:rRNA from 1 species
CGAAUGCUGACGUGAGUAACGACAAAACGGGUGAAAAACCCGUUCGCCGAAAGACCAAGGGUUCCAGUCCAACGUUAAUCGGGGCUGGGUGAGUCGACCCCUAAGGCGAGGCCGAAAGGCGUAGUCGAUGGGAAAAUGGUUAAUAUUCCAUUACUUCUGUGUAAUGCGAUGAGAGGACGGAGAAGGCUAAAUCAGCCUGGCGUUGGUUGUCCAGGUGAAAGGAUGUAGGCAUGUAUCUUAGGCAAAUCCGGGGUACUCUAUGCUGAGAUCUGAUAGCAAGCUGUACUUGUACAGCGAAGUGGUUGAUGCCAUGCUUCCAGGAAAAGUCUCUAAGCUUCAGUUACACAGGAAUCGUACCCGAAACCGACACAGGUGGUCAGGUCGAGUAGACCAAGGCGCUUGAGAGAACUCUGCUGAAGGAACUAGGCAAAAUGGUACCGUAACUUCGGGAGAAGGUACGCUGUUGUUGGUGAUGGAACUCGCUUCCUGAGCUGACGACAGCCGCAGAAACCAGGCCGCUGCAACUGUUUAUUAAAAACAUAGCACUCUGCAAACACGAAAGUGGACGUAUAGGGUGUGAUGCCUGCCCGGUGCUGGAAGGUUAAUUGAUGGGGUUAGCGUAAGCGAAGCUCUUGAUCGAAGCCCCAGUAAACGGCGGCCGUAACUAUAACGGUCCUAAGGUAGCGAAAUUCCUUGUCGGGUAAGUUCCGACCUGCACGAAUGGCAUAAUGAUGGCGGCGCUGUCUCCAGCAGAGGCUCAGUGAAAUCGAAAUCGCUGUGAAGAUGCAGUGUACCCGCGGCUAGACGGAAAGACCCCGUGAACCUUUACUGCAGCUUGACACUGAACUUUGACCUUACUUGUGUAGGAUAGGUGGGAGGCUUUGAAGCUGGAACGCUAGUUCCAGUGGAGCCGUCCUUGAAAUACCACCCUGGUAAUGUUGAGGUUCUAACUCUGUCCCGUGAUCCGGGACGAGGACCGUGUCUGGUGGGUAGUUUGACUGGGGCGGUCUCCUCCUAAAGAGUAACGGAGGAGUACGAAGGUGCGCUCAGCGUGGUCGGAAAUCACGCGUAGAGUAUAAAGGCAAAAGCGCGCUUAACUGCGAGACCCACAAGUCGAGCAGGUACGAAAGUAGGUCUUAGUGAUCCGGUGGUUCUGUAUGGAAGGGCCAUCGCUCAACGGAUAAAAGGUACUCUGGGGAUAACAGGCUGAUACCGCCCAAGAGUUCAUAUCGACGGCGGUGUUUGGCACCUCGAUGUCGGCU